rnacentral:pre_miRNA from 1 species
CACUGUAGGAUUUGUAUGGAGUUCGAACGUUCGCCUACGUUUGCCGCCAAGAGCGCUAUUCCAACUGCAUACAAAUUUGAGUUC